GCAUUAAUUCUGCGCUUGGCGGCUCAAUCUCAGCGGGUAUACGAAGCCUUCGGAUUACCUAUACCACAUACAUAUACAGAAUGGGACAACUAAAGACCUUGAAUGCUUUUGAAUGUAUGAGGAAACUUGUUAGCGAGGACAUAUGGGUGCCCAGCUCCGUAGGAUCCGAACAACGUGGACACGCGCACGCGAAGUGCUUGCCCUCAAGAAGAUGCUCUCUCCGUAGCAUCGUUGGAAGUAACGAGUGCGUGUAACUUGCGUAAAGUUCACCGCCCGCAGGAAUCUUAAGCGUGGUACGCAGCCGUAUCCUGUAGACGCAAGAACCGCGUGCAUAAUUGCUACUCGCAUUUAAUACGGGGAGUAUCUUCAUCAGCAUAAUAAACCACGUGAGAUUUUCUGGGAUCGCGCGCAAUAUGCGAACUAAUUGCGGAAGAACUGUGCACGAGUAUAUAGUAGGUAAAAGCAUUCUCGCAUUCUUGCCCGCAAACGGGCCAUCCGCAUGUGGAACAUAGCUGUUUGUCAUCCGGUUCAGGGGGCCAAGGUGUGUAGCAGGAAAGACACAAGGGAUAAGUGCAUGCCUUCGGCCCGACAACAAAGGGCAUUUCUGUGACAAGUUCUUCACCAGCUUGUAAUUCUCUGCUCGUGACCAUGUAUCUACAAGUAUUAAAUGCAAUUCUUCUAUAUAAACAUUUAAUUAGAACG
rnacentral:lncRNA from 13 species